rnacentral:lncRNA from 1 species
GAAAGUAUUUUGUUUUCAUAUUUGCUGAAGAAACUCUAGGUGUCCGAGCAAGGAAACAACCCUGUCUGUGGCGCAGAGGUGCCCAGGGCGACUUAGAGGAGAGAAGAGGAGAAUUUGGGGAGAGCCAGAGGGCUGGAAAUGAAGACUUAAGGAUUCUCUUCUCUCUGUUUGGGGGAUACAUAGUAACGCGCGUGCAUGAAACCCUCCGAUAUAGUGCUGAGCCCUUAUCUGAUGCUCAGUAAAUACGUAUGUACUUUCUUGACUGACUAAGUUCUGAUGUAAGUGAUUCAAAAAGAGCAGUGAGAAUCUGCUUUCGGCCUUGAAUUUAGUAGGGGAUUUCUACAGCUCCAGAGCAGACAGGCCGGGGCCAGGAAGGGGUCACCAAAUAAGGAGGCGUCGCUUCGGUAAAAAAAGAGAGUCUCUGAAAUGGGCCCAGUAGUUAUAAAUACCAAGGGCAAAUGCCUGUAAGCUGAUGUAAGAAGAUGAAUCGGAAGAGCAUGGCUGUCUCAGAAAAGACCUGAGCAUAACCGACUGUUCCAAACGUAAAUCCACUGGGUUAGUUCUGAGUCUCCGUAGGCCUGACACGGAAAAGAGGGCAGCAGGCAAGGCGCCCUCCGUCUGCACAAACACUCUCCUGCCAGUGCCUCUCAGGGCACAAGGAAGCAAACAGAAGCGAAGGACAGGAUAAAUGGCACAGGGACAGUGGUUCCCAGACGCUGGACAAUGGAACAGCAGUGGUCUGAGAGGAAGUUUUCAGAGGCUGAGGUAUCUUACCCCAUGAACCCUGCAGGCUCUACGUUGAGGCCCUGGGCCUCCAGCUGCCCAGCCUCAGCUAAGAGCAGCCACUGAGUAGGAGUUUCUUAGAGGUACCAGGGCUCCACUCAGAUACUUCAAGACUUGGUAAGCAACAAGGGUACCCUCAGAGCUGUCAGCGAACUUGCUUCAGUUUACACACAAUAUUCCAAAUUAAGGGAAAUGCCACUAAGAGCGUUACUCCCAUUUUUGUUAACAAAUCUAUGAGAAACUGAAUUUAAUAGCAAAUGAUAAAGAUAAAAUAUGAGAAUAAAUUGAACAUUUAUGCUCCA